rnacentral:lncRNA from 10 species
CAGGGUCUUGCUGUGUCAUCCAGGCUGGAGAGUGGUGUGAUCAUAACUCACUGCAGCCUUGAACGCCUGGGCUCAAGAGAUCCUCCCGCCUCCGCAGAGUAGCAGGGACUACAACAGGUCCUCAACGCUGUUUGGUUGAACGUCACUUCGUCAUAAUGGUGAUGAGAAAAAAAAUCGAUUCCAGGCCAUGGCCACUGUCUCUUUGAUGCCACAGGAAGCCAGCUUGCUAGCUCCCUGUUACCUGAUAGUUCCCUGACUAAAAAGACUCUUCAGUGAGGAUCAGCAUUUUACCCUAGACAGGAGUCGUGAAUUUUCUUUUUAAAGAUACACAUAUCUCUUAAAAGGGUCCAGAAUAUUUCCUGCAAAACUGUCUCUGUCAUAUGAGCACCUAUUAGAGCCACUAUAAGAAAAGCUAAGGAAACAAAUCCAUCUUUCCUGCAACAGAAAAAACACACACCCUAAAAUGGGCCAAGAACUUGAACAUCAGCAAGAUUACAGACCAGGGAAAAAAGCAAAUAACAUUUUAACUGAAAAUUUGAUUUGAAAAAUAAAAGCUUAUCCAUUGGUUCUCUCACUUCUUUCCCCACUUCUUUCUCACUGCUGGAACUUUGUGAAACAUACAGAUGAUGGAGGAGCAUUUGUGUCGACAUUCUGAAUUUCAAUUUUUAAUAAUUAGGCAGAUGGUUGGUUUGUGGUAAAGUCCAUUAUUGUACAGAUUGCAAUUUGUAUCUAGUCACAAAAUAUAAGUUACUUUCCUAGGACGAUUUCAGGAUCUUUUCAGAUAGGAAAUAUUACUGUAAUUGAAAAACGACUUAACUUUUAGCCAAGAGCCCAUAACAUCCAGGUACCUCCGUGCCCCUAUGAACUGUUUCUUUUCCUCUCGAGUCUUUAUUGGUCAUAGCCCUAGAUUUCCCAUCAAAUUCAACCCGGCCUGAGCGGCAGGCAAUGCCCCUGCUGGGUGCGGAUUGCAGGCCCACCACUGGAGGGCGUCUGGACGCUUCUAAACAGCUCUGAAGCGC